CGGCAGGCCUAAUACAUGCAAGUCGAGGGGUAACAGGAAGUGCUUGCACUUCGCUGACGACCGGCGCACGGGUGAGUAUCGCGUAUACAAUCUGCCUCAUACUAGGGAAUAGCCCGAAGAAAUUUGGAUUAAUGCCCUAUAGUAUCUUUUUAAGGCAUCUUAUUAAGAUUAAAGGUUACGGUAUGAGAUGAGUAUGCGUUCUAUUAGCUAGUAGGUGUGGUAACGGCACACCUAGGCUACGAUAGAUAGGGGCCCUGAGAGGGGGAUCCCCCACACUGGUACUGAGACACGGACCAGACUCCUACGGGAGGCAGCAGUAAGGAAUAUUGGUCAAUGGACGAAAGUCUGAACCUGCCAUGCCGCGUGCAGGAUGACUGCCCUAUGGGUUGUAAACUGCUUUUAUAUAGGAAGAAAAACUUUCUCGUGAGAAAGCUUGACGGUACUAUAAGAAUAAGGAUCGGCUAACUCCGUGCCAGCAGCCGCGGUAAUACGGAGGAUCCAAGCGUUAUCCGGAAUCAUUGGGUUUAAAGGGUCCGUAGGUGGACAAAUAAGUCAGAGGUGAAAUCCUGCAGCUCAACUGUAGAACUGCCUUUGAUACUGUUUGUCUUGAGUUAUUAUGAAGUGGUUAGAAUGUGUAGUG
rnacentral:rRNA from 1 species